rnacentral:rRNA from 1 species
AGAGUUUGAUCCUGGCUCAGGAUGAACGCUGGCGGCGUGCUUAACACAUGCAAGUCGAACGAAGCACUUUAUUUGAUUUCCUUCGGGACUGAUUAUUUUGUGACUGAGUGGCGGACGGGUGAGUAACGCGUGGGUAACCUGCCUUGUACAGGGGGAUAACAGUUGGAACCGGCUGCUAAUACCGCAUAAGCGCACGGCAUCGCAUGAUGCAGUGUGAAAAACUCCGGUGGUAUAAGAUGGACCCGCGUUGGAUUAGCUAGUUGGUGAGGUAACGGCCCACCAAGGCGACGAUCCAUAGCCGACCUGAGAGGGUGACCGGCCACAUUGGGACUGAGACACGGCCCAAACUCCUACGGGAGGCAGCAGUGGGGAAUAUUGCACAAUGGGCGAAAGCCUGAUGCAGCGACGCCGCGUGAGCGAAGAAGUAUUUCGGUAUGUAAAGCUCUAUCAGCAGGGAAGAUAAUGACGGUACCUGACUAAGAAGCACCGGCUAAAUACGUGCCAGCAGCCGCGGUAAUACGUAUGGUGCAAGCGUUAUCCGGAUUUACUGGGUGUAAAGGGAGCGCAGGCGGUGCGGCAAGUCUGAUGUGAAAGCCCGGGGCUCAACCCCGGUACUGCAUUGGAAACUGUCGUACUAGAGUGUCGGAGGGGUAAGCGGAAUUCCUAGUGUAGCGGUGAAAUGCGUAGAUAUUAGGAGGAACACCAGUGGCGAAGGCGGCUUACUGGACGAUAACUGACGCUGAGGCUCGAAAGCGUGGGGAGCAAACAGGAUUAGAUACCCUGGUAGUCCACGCCGUAAACG